CCCUUAGAUGUUCUGGGCUGCACGCGCGCUACACUGAUGCGCUCAACGAGUUUAUGAACUUGCCCGGAAGGGUUGGUUAAUCUUUUUAAAACGCAUCGUGAUGGGGAUAGAUUAUUGAAAUUAUUAAUCUUGAACGAGGAAUUCCUAGUAAACGCAGAUCAUCAAUCUGCAUUGAUUACGUCCCUGCCCUUUGUACACACCGCCCGUCGCACCUACCGAUUGGAUGGUCCGGUGAAGCCUCGGGAUUGUGGUUCUUGCCGCUUUAUUGUGGCGUGACCGCGAGAACUUGUCUAAACCUUAUCAUCUAGAGGAAGGUGAAGUCGUAACA
rnacentral:rRNA from 1 species